rnacentral:rRNA from 1 species
UUUCGCAAUGCCCGAAAGGGUGACGAAGCGACGCCGCGUGCGGGAAGAAGGCCUCCGGGUUGUAAACCGCUGUCGGGAGUUAAGAAAUGCAAGGAUGUUAAUAGCAUCUUUGUUUGACUAAGGCUCCGGAGGAAGCCACGGCCAACUCUGUGCCAGCAGCCGCGGUAAUACAGAGGCGGCAAGCGUUGUUCGGAAUUAUUGGGCGUAAAGAGCACGUAGGCGGCUGUGUAAGUCGGUUGUGAAAGCCUUCCGCUUAACGGAAGAACGGCAUCCGAUACUGCAUAGCUCGAGUGCGGGAGGGGAGAGUGGAACUUCUGGUGGAGCGGUGAAAUGCGUAGAUAUCAGAAGGAACACCGGCGGCGAAGGCGACUCUCUGGCCCGUAACUGACGCUGAGUGUGCGAAGGCUAGGGGAGCAAACGGGAUUAGAUACCCCGGUAGUCCUAGCCGUAAACGAUGGGCACUAAGUAGAGGGGUUUU